rnacentral:rRNA from 1 species
GACGAACGCUGGCGGCGUGCUUAACACAUGCAAGUCGAACGGAAAGGCCCUUCGGGGUACUCGAGUGGCGAACGGGUGAGUAACACGUGGGUGAUCUGCCCUGCACUUUGGGAUAAGCCUGGGAAACUGGGUCUAAUACCGAAUAUGACCGCGCACUUCCUGGUGUGUGGUGGAAAGCUUUUGCGGUGUGGGAUGGGCCCGCGGCCUAUCAGCUUGUUGGUGGGGUAAUGGCCUACCAAGGCGACGACGGGUAGCCGGCCUGAGAGGGUGACCGGCCACACUGGGACUGAGAUACGGCCCAUACUCCUACGGGAGGCAGCAGUGGGGAAUAUUGGACAAUGGGCGAAAGCCUGAUCCAGCAAUACCGCGUGUGUGAAGAAGGCCUUCGGGUUGUAAAGCACUUUAAGUUGGGAAGAAAAAGCUUCACCUAAUACGUGAAGCCUUGACGGUACCGACAGAAUAAGCACCGGCUAACUCUGUGCCAGCAGCCGCGGUAAUACAGAGGGUGCUAGCGUUAAUCGGAUUUACUGGGCGUAAAGCGUGCGUAGGUGGUUUGAUAAGUCGAUUGUGAAAGCCCCGGGCUUAACCUGGGAAUUGCGGUCGAUACUGUCAGACUCGAAAACGGUAGAGGGAGGU